rnacentral:rRNA from 1 species
AACGAACGCUGGCGGCAUGCCUAACACAUGCAAGUCGAACGAGACCUUCGGGUCUAGUGGCGCACGGGUGCGUAACGCGUGGGAACCUGCCCUUAGGUUCGGAAUAACUCCCCGAAAGGGGGGCUAAUACCGGAUAAUGUCUUCGGACCAAAGAUUUAUCGCCUUUGGAUGGGCCCGCGUUGGAUUAGCUAGUUGGUAGGGUAAAAGCCUACCAAGGCGACGAUCCAUAGCUGGUCUGAGAGGAUGAUCCGCCACACUUGGACUGAGACACGGCCCAGACUCCUACGGGAGGCAGCAGUGGGGAAUAUUGGACAAUGGGCGAAGGCCUGAUCCAGCAAUGCCGCGUGAGUGAUGAAGGCCUUAGGGUUGUAAAGCUCUUUUACCCGGGAUGAUAAUGACAGUACCGGGAGAAUAAGCUCCGGCUAACUCCGUG